UCCGAGUUGACCCCGGCAGUCUCUUACGAGUCCCCACCAUUACGUGCUGGCAACAUAAGACAAGGGUUGCGCUCGUUGCGGGACUUAACCCAACAUCUCACGACACGAGCUGACGACAGCCAUGCACCACCUGUGCAUCGGCCCCGAAGGGCUGCCGUAUUUCUACGGCAUUCCAGUGCAUGUCAAGCCUUGGUAAGGUUCUGCGCGUUGCGUCGAAUUAAACCACAUACUCCACCGCUUGUGCGGGCCCCCGUCAAUUUCUUUGAGUUUUAACCUUGCGGCCGUACUCCCCAGGCGGAGAGCUUAAUGCGUUAGCUGCGUCACCGACACGCAUGCGUGCCGACAACUAGCUCUCAUCGUUUACAGCGUGGACUAC
rnacentral:misc_RNA from 1 species